rnacentral:sRNA from 1 species
CGCGGCGAAGCGGGGGGCGGGGUGGACCGUGCCCGGUAUUUUCUAUACGGGUUCCGGGGCCCGGUAGAGGCGCGCCAAGAGGAAAGGAAAGUGCGGCGGCCCUGGAACCUGGAUAUCGCGCGAGAUUUGUGACCCAGAAGGAAAUCUCUGACCUCAGCUGUAGCUCUUGGUGCUGGCCAGAAGCCAACUUCAUGUCUGAGUGCACGAGCAGCAGUUUGCCAUGGAGAGCUUGGGGCUGCACACGGUGACCCUUAGUGAUGGGACAACAGCCUACGUCCAGCAAGCUGUCAAAGGAGAGAAGCUUCUUGAAGGGCAGGUGAUCCAGCUCGAGGAUGGGACCACCGCAUACAUUCACCAGGUGACGGUACAGAAAGGUGAGGGCACCCCAACACACCAUGCCUUGUCGAGGGAAGCCUGACAGCCCCCACCAAGGGACCCCUCCAUGGCACUGAGCUCCAGGGAAAGGCAGGCAUUGCUCUCGUUACAGAAGCUCUCUCCUUUGAGGAUGGUCAGCCUGUGCAGCUGGAAGAUGGCAGCAUGGCUUACAUACACCGCACACCCAGAGAAGGCUAUGACCCCAGCACCCUGGAAGCCGUCCAACUGGAAGAUGGCUCCACUGCCUACAUUCACCACCCUGUGGCUGUGCCAUCGGACAGCACCAUCCUGGCCGUACAGACAGAGGUGGGCUUGGAGGACC